UGGAUGUGAGCGUCUGUAAGCGUAGCUUUCUAUUUCAUUUAGGUGAUAUUAAGUUUAUUUCUUUAUUUAUUUACUGCUACACUAUAUUGUUGAUAUGAUUUCUUAUAGAAGGAAUAGUACAGACAAAUGAUAUAAUUUGUCAUCGUCGAUAUCAGAAUACUGGAUAGCAUAGGCUACUCGUGGUGGAGAGGCAUAUUAGAGCUCAGUGAGAGCCCAUAACAUUAUACAGCAGUGUUGUCUUGAUUUAAUUGGGAUUUGUGCAACUUUUCCACAAACAAAAUUCUGAUGCUGACACAGAGGAUGGAGUGAUAAUACCAGAGAUCAGCUGUCUCCAUCAGACAAUAAUGUUACUUUGUUCAGACAUAUCACCUUUGAAUGACUGGGAUCCUUAUCUUCAGACACCUGUUGUAUUUUAUUUUAAUAUUAUAAAAUAGCAAAUAUUUUAAUUUCUUUGGAGCUCUAGAUUAAAACAAACACAGUACACAAGAGGUUGCAGUUUAUUCUUAUUAGUCUCUGCUGAUCAUGGAUUAGCAUACCAACAGCAUAUGAAUGGAAUAGUUCAUCCAAAAAUAAAAUUCUCACUUAUUUUACUCACCCUCAUGCUGUCCCAGAUGCAUUUUACUUUCUUUCUACAGAUAAAUACGAAUUAAGAUUUUAAGGAAAGUAAUCCAUCUCUGCAAGCCCUAAAGAUGCUUUAAAAACCACACACAGUGACCGUGAUGUCCAUGUGACCUCAGUGGAUGAAUCAAUACUGAAGUGAAACAAUAGAAUAAAAA